GGGAAUCAUGGCCUCCCUGCCCUGAGGCCUCUGCUGCCCUACCUUCCCUGGUCCUUCUCUGGAAAAGGAGUAUGGUGGCCAGGACACUCUCUAGGGACCCUUCCUGCUUUUCUAACACCCCAGCAAAAGUAAAGCUCACAGAAUCAAUAGAGCCGAAGGCCCAAAGCAGUCCAGGCCGCCUUGAGCUCAAAUCUGAGUGGCCUGUCCAAUAUUCCCAACAAGGAGUUAGGCAGCCUUUACUUGAAGCCCUUGCAGGGAGGCGGGGAGAGCACUACUUCUCAAGGUGACCCAUUUUCCUUGAGAAGAGCUCUCUAAGGGUCCUAAAAUGUUCCUUCUGCUUGCAUUGAAACCUUCCCCCACAGGAGCUCUUGCCUAGUGCCCAUAACAUUUUAUGGCUGUGGACAUGGAUUAAAAGGUAGACUGUUAAGCUCCCCUGCCUAGGCCAGGGCACUGUUUUCCUUUGCCUUUUCCCCUCCAGUAUCCAGCAGCUGGAAGGUGCCAGAUAAAAGCGUCAGAGGGUUGUCUUGUCUCUGAUGGAUUUCUGGAAGUGCUCGGGUGGGCUGGAGCUCCGGGGACUCUCCUGCUUCCAGCGGGGAACUGAGGACUCCCUCUUGGAUCCAGAAUCCAGCAGGCUUGGAAUCUCCUUAAAUGCCUCUCCGCCACAUCGGUCCAUCUGGCUCUGAAGAGAGCGGGAGGCCCUUGAUGUGAUUUCCGGAAAUCUCCCUGCCCACUCCCCUUCAAUUCCGGCAGCUCUGUGGGCUGAUAGCUGUGUCCCAAAGGAACAGAACUCAGGCUGGCAGGCUGGGCUAUGGAGGAUUCAAUGGCGGCUGCUUGGUGCCCCUUGGCCUCACUGGGAUCCAAAUGCUCCAGUCAAAGGGCAUCCCCAAAGGGGCCAUUUUACAAGGAACAGCCGGUAAGGGCACCGUGUUAAGUACUUUACAAAGGUUGUGUCACUUGAUUCAAUUACAGAAACAUUUAUGAAGCCCCUGCUACCAUGGGCCAGGCACCCCGCUAAGCACUGAGGGGACCAACAGGGGUAAAAGACAACCCGUGGCCUCAAGGAGCUUACAGUCUAAUGACUGCCCCAGCACCUGGCAGUCCAUUUUACAGAGGAGGAAACCGAGGCAGGAAACGAGUGCAGGGCACAUCCGGGGAGGAAUCGGAGAAGCGGGCAGCCUACUUGCUGGCACCGGAGUGAGGGAGACUAAGAUUUCGGUUUGCCGCGCUGACUGGGGUUAUAUAGACCCGGGUCUGGGGAAAAGAAUCCCACAACCGGGCCUCAGAGUACGUGCCGCGCCUAGUUCCGAGGGGCGGGGCCGUGCGCGCGUCCACGACCGGAGUCACGUACUCAGUACGUAAGUACGCUAAAGCCGCCAUAGCGCCGGUGCCUGCACGGCGUUCGAACUUUCCGGGGUACGAGAAUGGCCACGGUGGCGGCGACAGUUGGUUCUGACCCUGAUUCCGACUCCUCCGGAGCGGCAGGUGGGCCCAGAUCCCGGGCGCGGGGCGACGCCGGCGCCGGUGCCGACGCUGAGGAGAAGCAGAAGACCCCGUGCCUGGGGCAGGAACUCAGCAAACGCUCGUACUGGUUCGACCUGUGGCUCUUCCUGCUCUUCGACCUGGUCCUCUUCGUGAUCUUCUACCUGCUCCCCUGAGUAUGGAGAUUUCCGUGUGCCAGAUGGGACAAGUCUCCAGCCAUCCUGGGACUUCUGGGUUCAGCAACAAUCAGCCCUGGAGAUACUAAUGUGAUACUGUACUCAGUGGGUAGCUAAGCUGUUGCAAAUAUCCUUCAGUUUAUGCUACAAUGACUUUGCUUCAGUAUUUAAUGACUAUGGUGGCUUAGUGGAACUGAAUGUUUCUGCUCAUUAAUUAUGUCUGCAUGAAGGUAAUCUUGAAUAUUUAAGACAAAAUCCCCCAAUGCAUUGACAUUUUUUUUGUCACGUGCUUACUGAUGAACAGAUAAAAUGUAGUCCUUGAAAUCACGUGGUGGUGGAUAUCGAAGGACGCAGAGGGCAGGCCAGAUCACUGCCCAUUUGGUUUAUGAAACCCCUUACAUCUAGUGUGGCAGAGCUGUGGAGUCCCUUGGGGGGGGCCUGUGGCUGCUUUCCUCGCCACCUCCCUGUUCCUUGCCCUGGGGUAGAAAAGGCGCCUUCUCACAAGAAGGAACUCCAUCUUGACCAGCCUCUGGCAGGCACGGGGAAGAGACCAGGAUCCCAGGGGUUAGCAGGGAGUCACUUGGAGAGAUUAGUGAGGCUCAGUCCAAUCUACCACGUUUAUGAAGUGCCUACUGAGUAGGAGGGGCUGUGCCAGAUACAAAGCCAAACCUAAGGAGUACCCUUCUACUCAGUAAAUAACAGCUUUACAAGUAAAUAGUAGGAAGUAGGGAGUGAAUUGAAAAUGCACUAGAAAAAUGUGUGGAAUUUCCCAGGAGAUGGGGUGAUUUCUUAAAAAACUUUUAAAAAAAGAUUUCAGUAUAAAGUGGGUGGGGAGGAUCUGGUGGAAGAGAAUUCAGCACUUAAACUUUUUACAAGGAGAUGCUAAAAAUAAAUGUCUUUAAAAAUAUAUUUAAAUUUGCAUUGGAAACUUGGAGGAUUGGAUUAACAGGGAAAUAAGAGUGUAUUUGUUAGGUGUUCAAAUAGUAAACAAAUAAGAAACUGAAAAAAAGGUUAAAAAUCUUAAUAUCCAAUGAUAGAGGUCCCUCCAUUUUGCCUACAGUCCUGACUUACCUUUUCUGGUUGAUUACUAAAAGCUAUCUACCUCCUCACUCCAAAUCCCACAUACUCUUUGAGCCUAACAGAGCUGGUAGUCAUUGAGGACUAGCCUGGUAAUGAGAUUCUCACCUUGUUUUAAACCAGUUACUUAGAAACAUUAUUCAAGGCCUUAUGUGAAAAAUGGGGGAGAAAAUUAGGAUCUUUGCAACAGGUGAUCAUAACAAGGGGGUAGAUAAGAAGUUUUAUUGAAUCUGAAAACUGAAUCCCUUUCCAAUGAUAUAAUGAGGUCAAAAGAAUCAAAAGUAGUUUUAAACAAAAAAAAAAAAAUUUUUUUUAAACCUCUACCUUCCCCUUCAGAAUCAAUACUCUGUAUUGGCUCCAAGGCAGAAGAGUGGUAAGGGCUACACAACGGGGGUUAAAUGACUUGCCCAGGGUCACACAGCUGGGAAAUAUCUGAGACCAAAUUUGAGCCUAGGACCUCCUGGCUCUCCAUCCACUGAGCUACCCAAACAAGUUUCUUGAACAGUGGCAGAUAUACCACUUGGCAUCUGCUCAAAUAAACUGACUUGUCUUUAAAUCUUUAAGAUUUCUAUUAGUUGAUUAAAGUUUGUGUAUUAUUUGGCUAUUAUUAUUACUAUUAUUAUUUGGGGCAUAAGAAUAUAAAAUGUAUCAUCUCCUAACCUUUAAGAUGGUUAAAAAGGGAACCUUUUAAUAAUAUUUGAUGAAAUUAAGUGAAACUUCUGUCUACACCAAGACUUUUAUUUCCAUUUCCUUUGCAGUUUCUAAUAUUAUUCCAUUCCCUUUCUUGUUCUUUACUUCACUUUGGGGUCCCCAAACUUUUUACACAGGGGGCCAGUUCACUGUCCCUCAGACCGUUGGAGGGCCGGACUAUAAAAAGAGCUAUGAACAAAUCUGUAUACGCUGUCUGGGAUAGCGGAGGCUGCAGCGCUGGCUGGGAUGGGCCUGUCACACCUUGCACAGGCCCAUCACUGCCACCUCUAUCCAGGGCAGCAGUACAUACAGUGCGGAAUCCCCUCCCCCAGAUCACCAUGCUGACGUCUUCCUUUGUGCAGCCACAUAAUCCUUUGUGCGGCGCCUCGUUCUUGUUCAGUUACUCUCAGAACAAGGCGCCACGUGCAAAGGGUCAUGUCACCGGAAGUACUAUACGUGAGCGCCACAGCACUGCCACAUACAGUGCUCCUCUUGACCACCAAUGAAAGAAGUGUCCCUUCCGGAAGUGCGUUGGCAGCUGGAUACACGGCCUCAGAGGGCCGCACGUGGCUGGCGGGCUGUUGUUUGGGGACCCCUGUUCUAGGCCAUUCUAGCCAAAACAUGCUGACCAUUUGGGAAAGAGAUUCAAAAGCAGCAUUAUCUCCCAGCUCCCCCCACUCCUCUCUCCAAAAAGGCUCCCAACAAUAUGACUAAAGGUUUCCUUCUUAAAUGGAAAGUACAGUAUCCUUACUCCAGUAAACUAGGAGAAAGCCAGUACACUUUUCUCAUGACCUGCUUUCAAAGGCUACCUGUAAUAAUCCUAUAGUCCUUGGCUACAGUCAAUCAGUUAAAGGUAUCUGUGUAGCACAGUGGCCACACAGGGCUGGAGACAGGAAGACUCAUCUUGCUGAAUCAAAUCUGGCUUUCAACACUUCUGAGCUGUGGGGCCCUGGGCAAGUCAUUUAACUAUGCCUCGCUUUUCUCAUCUAUAAAAUGGGCAGGUUUCUCUCCAGUAUCCUUGCCAAGAAAACAGGGACCCCAAAUGGGGUAAUGAAAAGUUGCAUAUGAUUGAAAAAUGGCUGAAUGAUUUAGUUAGGGCCUAGUUGUCCAGCAGUGGACAAUUUGAAUGUAAAAAUGUUUCCCAUAAAUGCACCCCCCCCCCCCCCCAAACAGCCUAUGUUUAAAAACAAACCCCCAAGUAAAUAGCUCAUACAUAUUAAGAACACAAGUCCACAACUCUAAUUUAAAAGUUGUUUAACUUUUAACAAUUUUGAACUAGAAGAAAAUGAUUUCCUAGGAAAAUAUAGCACUCUAAAGAUAGUUAAAAACAUUUUGUACAAGAAUUGUUAAACACGUUACAAAAAUCUCCAUGAAAACUUCAUAAUCAAAUCAGAACACUUAUAAAAAUAGGCACCCUAGAAAUAAAAACAAAAGCUUGACGUGUGCGUUACACAUUAGCAAUUAGAAAUCCGGCCUGCACGUGGAGUGUACAUUCAAAUAAUGUCAUUUUCUAAUUUUACCAUUGCUUUGUAAAUCAAACAUUCUUAAUUACAUGGACAGUACUUUAUGGGAGUUAAAGUAGUACCCGAAAUCACCUAUUGUGUUUCAUAGUUGGUGUACUCAGUGCCAUUACCAAGUCCUUUCAAAUCUAGAAAUCUUCAAUGCUUCGAUGGAUAAUUAAAAACAACAAUAACUUUCUUCUGUGCACACUUCCCUCAAGUACACAUUAAUGAAUCUUUCGAAAUACCUGAAAUGGGUCUAUUAUUGCUGAUGUUAUAAUUAUGCAAAUAGCAAAAUUAAAUACAUUAUUUUUUCAAAUAGAAUUUUACACCAUUUACAAAUGUCAGUAUACUAAAAGCUUUUGAAAUGCAGCUUUGGAGAAGGAUGGUUGGCACUUGGUAUGUUCAAGUAUUUCUAACUUGUGGAAGGACAGAAACUAAUAUUUAGAGUAGUGGUUAUGAACUUGAACUUUUGAGAAAUCUGAGAACAGCAAAUGGAAGAUAAAUGUAAAUCAAGCCAAGGUUUGGUUACAAAGCAAAUCGACAAGCUUGGUACAAGCAAUUCUUUGCCAUUAUGUUAAAACACAGCAAUUUGUUAUCCCAUAUUUCAGAAUAUCUUCAAAUUCUACCACUUUGGGUGCCUGUGAAAUCGAUCAUGUCAUUAAGAGAAGAAUUAUACAAAACUUAAAGCUAUUAAAUUUUAUAUAAGAAAA